rnacentral:rRNA from 1 species
UAGAGUUUGAUCCUGGCUCAGGAUGAACGCUGGCGGCGUGCCUAAUACAUGCAAGUCGAACGGUACGGAGCGAUCCGUAUAGUGGCGAACGGGUGAGUAACGCGUUGGUGACCUGCCCCGGAGUGUGGGAUACCAGGCCGAAAGGCUUGCUAAUACCGCAUGGUCCACCGGAAGUUGAAGGCUCUGGUGGUAAAGCAGAAAUGCGCUCUGGGAGGGGCCUGCGUCCCAUCAGCUAGUUGGUAAGGUAACGGCUUACCAAGGCGAUGACGGGUAGGGGACCUGAGAGGGUGGCCCCCCACAAUGGAACUGAAACACGGUCCAUACACCUACGGGUGGCAGCAGUAGGGAAUAUUGCUUAAUGGGCGCAAGCCUGAAGCAGCAACGCCGCGUGUGCGAUGAAGGCCUUCGGGUUGUAAAGCACUUUUGGCUGGGAAGAGGAAGGACGGUACCAGCAGAAUCAGCCUCGGCUAACUACGUGCCAGCAGCCCCGGUCA